UUACAGAAUAGGCGUACAAUGCAACAGGACUAUGUAAACCAAAACAAUUAAAAAUACAUAAUUAAUUUAACCAUUUGAAAAUCCAAGUGUAGGAGAAGCGUACAGAAAAUCCUCUCAAGCAAGCCCCGUUGGCAGGUGCUGGUGGGAUCAUUUUUUGUAGGAAACCUGGCCACACAGUGGCUGCUGACAGUGCUUGAUAAGACAAGCUGGAAUAAGCAGGGACUGCCACUCAACAUCAGAACCAUUUAAAUAAAAACUAUUUGUAGCUGAUGCCUGAAAAAGUAUACCACAGUGGAAUGACAGUUUCUGGAGUCUACAGCAAAGAUGGUGGUUUACAUAGAUCGCUGCUUGGCUUUGCAGGUAGUAGAGGCAUUAAACUGACGGAUAAAAGUGAAAGACACCUGGAAGCCAUCAGAAGUUAGAAAACAUGUACAGCUAUCAAUGGAGUGAUAUGGGUGCAGAUAACUCCUGCAAGCUCAAGUCAGGAGGAUUUGCCAUCCAUUAUGUAAUAGUGAUACAUCAAUCCCAGAACCAAGGAUCCCAGGAUGGGGAAGGGCGUUGGUACUUACCUGACACACCAUUUCUAGUCGAGCUGCGUAGA